GUACUGAUAUAAAUAGUAUUCAGUAUGAAACCACAUUUUCAUUACCAAGUCCUAGCAUUGUUGAAGAAAGUCAAAUGAAUCUUGAAUGGCCCACCAAUCGUCGUAUUACUAUAGAUGGCACUCCAAAAUAUACCGAAGAGGUAUAUUAACUGAUGUUGGUGUAACCAGGAAAAAAAUGUUGACACCUAGAGCUCAACGAUUAUAUAAAACACUGAUCCGAUCAAAGUCAAAGAUAA
rnacentral:lncRNA from 1 species